GAUGAACGCUAGCGGGAGGCUUAACACAUGCAAGUCGUGGGGCAGCAUUGGGUAGCAAUACUCAGAUGGCGACGGGCGCACGGGUGAGUAACGCGUAUGCAACUUACCCUGUACUGGGGGAUAGCCCGGAGAAAUUCGGAUUAAUACCCAAUAAUGGUAGUGAAAGGCAUAUUUUAAUCUUUAAAACUUCGGCGUUACAGGCUGGGCAUGCGUAACAUUAGCUAGUGGGUAGGGUAAAAGACUACCAAGGACACGAUGUUGAGGGGUCCUGAGAAGGUGAUCCGCCACAAUUGUACUGAGACACUGACCAGACUCCUACGGGAGGCAGCAGUGAGGAAUAUUGGUCAAUGGGCGCAAGCCUGAACCAGCCAUCCCGCGUGAAAGAAGAAGGCGCUAUGCGUUGUAAACUUCUUUUCCAGAGGAAUAAAAUGUUGUACUUGUACGACACUAAAGGUACCCUGGGACUAAGCAUCGGCUAACUCCGUGCCAGCAGCCGCAGUAAGAC
rnacentral:rRNA from 1 species